GGCACGAUGGCAGAGCGGUCUAAUGCGCAAGACUCGAAUUUCUAGCUCAUCUAGCGUCGAUAUCUUGUUUCUUCGGAAGCGCAGGUUCAAAUCCUGCUCGUGUCG